rnacentral:rRNA from 1 species
UACGAAGGGAGCUAGCGUUGUUCGGAAUUACUGGGCGUAAAGCGCACGUAGGCGGGUCGUUAAGUCAGGGGUGAAAUCCCGGAGCUCAACUCCGGAACUGCCUUUGAUACUGGCGAUCUUGAGAUCGGAAGAGGUGAGUGGAAUUCCCAGUGUAGAGGUGAAAUUCGUAGAUAUUGGGAAGAACACCAGUGGCGAAGGCGGCGCACUGGUCCGAUACUGACGCUGAGGUGCGAAAGCGUGGGGAGCAAACAGG